rnacentral:rRNA from 1 species
CCCUUAGAUGUUCUGGGCGGCCCGCGCACUACAUUGGCACUGGCAACAAGAUCCUAGAUCUGGUAUUUCGGGGUAUUCUACCAACUGGUGUCGUGACUGGGAUUAACCCCUGCAAUUGUUGGUUAUGAACGAGGAAUUCCUUGUAAUCACGGUUUAUCAACCCGUGUUGAAUGCGUCCCUGCCCUUUGUACACACCGCCCGUCGCUCCUACCGAUGAAUCGUCCGGUGAAGUUCAUGGAGUCGCGGCUGCUCCAGCUGUUUUCGAAGUGAAAUGGACCUCAUGAUUUAGAGGAAGGAGAAGUCGUAACA